GGAGAAAACUGGAAGAGGGAAGGAAAGGCUUUUAAUAAUAAUAACAGACUUCAGGGCUCUCUGUGUCACAUUCUGUUUUCUCUCCCUCAGGGAAGAGGAAGUGCUGGGGUUGGAGCGUCUAGGAACUGGCGAGCAGAAGCAUGUCCCAGCUGUGCGUGAAACCCUGGCUCAAGAAAUUCGAAAUCUCUGCCAAGGCUCACAGAGGUUGCCUAAGGUCACAAGGCAGUCGGUGCUGGGCCCUGGACAUGGACGCAGACCACAGCCCACUGAACGUGGGCCAAGGCUUUCAACCCACGCGCUGCGGCCAGAGGCCCGGAGGCCCAGGGGGUCAGAUGGGUUGGCAAACCCAGUGGAGACUCCUGAUUUGCUUAAGAGUCCCAUCCCCAGGAAGUGGUGGAAAGAACACAAGGUAACCGCUUUGGACUUCCCUGGUGGCUCAGUGGUAAAGAAUCUACCUGCCAAUGCAGGAGACAUGGUUCCAGCCCCGGUCUGGAAAGAUCCUACAUGCCGAGGAGCAGCUGAGCCCGUGACCACAACUACCGACCCUGUGCUCUAGAGCCCGUGCUCUGACACGAGGGAAGCCACUGCAAUAAGAAGCCUGCUCAUCGCAACUAGAGAGCAGCCCGCACAGCAACAGAGACCCAGCACAGCCAAAAAUAAAUAAAUAAAUAAAAUGUCAG
ensembl:lncRNA